AACUUGCCCAUGAGCGGGGGACAACAUCCGGAAACGGAUGCUAAUACCCCAUAGGUGGAUUGGUCGCAUGACUAAUUCAUUAAAGGUGGCUCUGCUACCACUCAUGGAUAGCCUCGCGGCGUAUUAGCUAGUUGGUAAGGUAAUGGCUUACCAAGGCAGUGAUACGUAGCCGACUUGAGAGGGUGAUCGGCCACACUGGGACUGAGACACGGCCCAG
rnacentral:rRNA from 1 species